GGACCUCAGCUAUAGAAAAGGGUUGGUUUUGACCUAUUGUAAUCAACUCCGGACAUAGAUCAUAAUUAGGGGCAUGACUUGUUGACUCCCAUGGUCUAUGGCUGGUCUCCGAAGGUACAAAGAAUUCAAUAAUAGGUAUGGAAUUUGAGUUAUCCAUAAAGAUGGAAAAAAUAAAAAGAUAAAAGAAUAAAAGUAUAAUACAAGAUAAUAGCAAGACUUAAAGUUAUCUCAGCAAACCGUCUUUAUCCCCGGCAACGGCGCCAGAAAUGCUUGUUUAUAUUUGGUAACACAAUAAGGAAAUGAUCCGCAAGCGCACGGA
rnacentral:lncRNA from 1 species